rnacentral:lncRNA from 1 species
AUGUCCUUUUCUUUAGGUAUGAAAUCGGAGAUGGGCUGUACAUUGGUUGGAGUUCGGCCACAAUGGCUUUAUGUGGUGGCAGCAGCUUGCUGUGUUCCUGUGGAUUGCGUAGCACAGAGGAAAAAAGAUCAUACUCCUACCAGCCUCAAUCCAGCCAUACGGUUCAGACUGUCUCUGCAACAUCCAAUAUCCCUUCCAGCCAAUAUGGACUCAAUGCAUAUGUGCAAGAAACAUACUGAAAACCUGGGAUCAACAAAGUCAAGUUACAGCAAAACAGGGAGCACACAAUGCAAGACCCUUUUAUGCUAUAUGGCCAGUGUCUGCUAUAAAGCAGAAAUCUCACAUUUCUAAUAUAAAUAUUCUCUGAAGUUUACUGGACAAUGGAGUUAUGUAAAUAGGUUAUUGGAAUUUUGUCUAAGAUUAAAACGUAUUUGCAUGGAGUAAAUAGUUGUGUUUAUUUAUACAACAUACAAAAAGUAGUUAAAAUAUGUAUAAUAGAACAUAAAUUAUUUAUUUUUUAAACAAAGUCCUUAUUCUUUACCAAAAUAUAAAAGAUACAACUGACAGCCUCUCUUAGUUCAUUGUUUACCUGAGGUAUGUUUUUUUUAUCAGCUUAACUAGUUUUAUUAGUUGACAACUAAUUAUGUUAACUCAACUAAUUCAAUGUAGAAGAGCUAAAUAGUUAGCUAAGUAAAUGUAAUAUUUAUUUAUAUUGAUUUGUGGGCUCCCCCAUGGCAGCAAGACCCUGGGAAGCAAACUAAUCAUGGGUGACAAAGAUAAGCAACCCCCCUUACAUUACAACUUUACAUUUUUAACCUUUUUUAAAAUCUACCUUUAUUAUUAUUUUUUUUUUUAACAAAAAUAUUCACUUUAAAUGUUCACUUUCAUUCAUGAAGAAGACAGGGAAAAAAUUGUCUCCUGGUGGAAAACAAAGACUUAAGAUGAAAAUUACAUGAAAUUACCAUUAUAUCCAGUAGAUGGCAGUGGAGGAUCACUCAUUAGCCCAGUUGCCAUUUCAACUCCCUAGUUUUUCACAUCUUGUUUUAGAAUUUAUUAUAAAAUGACUAUGAAGUAUAGCAAGUGCAGGAAGUCACAAAGUCUCAUGUCAUUUAAAAAUAAACAAAUAAAUAAGCCCAGAC